AUUGAACGCUGGCGGCAGGCCUAACACAUGCAAGUCGAACGGUAACAGGAAGAAGCUUGCUUCUUUGCUGACGAGUGGCGGACGGGUGAGUAAUGUCUGGGAAACUGCCUGAUGGAGGGGGAUAACUACUGGAAACGGUAGCUAAUACCGCAUAACGUCGCAAGACCAAAGAGGGGGACCUUCGGGCCUCUUGCCAUCGGAUGUGCCCAGAUGGGAUUAGCUAGUAGGGGGGGUAACGGCUCACCUAGGCGACGAUCCCUAGCUGGUCUGAGAGGAUGACCAGCCACACUGGAACUGAGAAACGGUCCAGACUCCUACGGGAGGCAGCAGUGGGGAAUAUUGCACAAUGGGCGCAAGCCUGAUGCAGCCAUGCCGCGUGUAUGAAGAAGGCCUUCGGGUUGUAAAGUACUUUAAGCGGGGAGGAAGGGAGUAAAGUUAAGACCUUUGCUCAUUGACGUUACCCGCAGAAGAAGCACCGGCUAACUCCGU
rnacentral:rRNA from 1 species